AGUUUCGUAGUGAAGUUGGUAAUCACGUCAGUCUAAUAUACUGAAGGUCUCUAGUUCGAAUCUGGACGAAACCC
rnacentral:tRNA from 1 species